GCAAUCAGAGGGAGAGCUCAUGACUUCACAAGGCAACUGGCUUUGGCCUGCCCUCAUGGUCGUGUGAAACAGUCAAAGCUACUUCUUACUCUGUUCCAUGAGGGAAUCUAUCUGUUCCUGUUUCCCCAGCUCUUGUGUGGAUAAUGGUUACAAUAGUACCCACCUGAAACUUCAAGAUGAAUGGGAGUUAGAAGUUGGAAGCCUAAUGAAGAAAUUCUCUUGGCCAAUCCUGUAGAGAUGAUCAACUCUUUGAAAAGACAAGCCAGGGACAGAGAAGUCACAAUGGGUCACUUCUGGGCUGACUCUGGGAUACCUUCUUCCCCACACGUAUGGUGUGUGUUAAGGGAUCAGUCUGAUGCUCGGGGCUCCCUACCCCCUCCGAACAAUUGAGCACCUGGAUAUUAAACUUGGUCUGUAUGAUUUUCACUGGAUGCCUUGUUUGGUGAUUGUUCAAAGUCCCUUAUACGUGUGAAUUUCUCCUUCUUGGAUUAUAAAGUCCUUGAGGAUUUAUACUUAGAAAAACUAAUACUCUCUUGUUCUUCCUCCCCUCUUCAUUACCAAUUCUGGGUACUUUCAGCAAAUGUUUAACAUAUGACUACACAAUACUUCUCCUUGAGAAUUUCUUUCCUUUACAAAGUCUUAUUUUAUGAUGUGAUUAAGAUUUAUUUUUAUAAAUCAAAUUAAAAAAAAUUAAAGUAGUUCCACACCUUCUAAAGUGAGCCUAUU